UCACGAAUUACUAACUCGUUCCCACAGAUUAUCAAUUCGUUCCCUCGAUUUAAACAAUCGGUUUUCUCGGAUUGUAAUUCGUUUUCUCGGUUUGAAAAAUCUGAUCAAACGGAUUUGAAAUUCGUUAUUACGUUUUGAUGAAUACAUACAUCUCUCAUAUUCCUCAUAUCAAUCAGCAGCUAGAAAGGGCACUAGAAUUGGACAUAAAGAGACAAUCUACAACUUAAUUCACCAGUACUUCCAUUUUGACUUGCAAUACAAAGAUAUUGUAAUCAUUUUAGUUCUGAUUGUCAUGGUGGUGUAUUUUGAUGAAAAAAUGCUGUCAAACCUGGAUAGAAGAAUUAAACGAUUUGCAGAACCGUGGUCUUUUUACGAGUGACAAGUUGGACACUAACCUGCUUCAGUUUUGUUUGAUGAAAAUACUUCAGAAUGAGUUAGACGAAGUGGCACAUGUGUGGAAUGCUCAUUA